rnacentral:rRNA from 1 species
UACGUAGGGUGCAAGCGUUGUCCGGAAUUAUUGGGCGUAAAGAGCUCGUAGGCGGUCUGUCACGUCGGCUGUGAAAACCCGAGGCUCAACCUCGGGCCUGCAGUCGAUACGGGCAAACUAGAGUACUGCAGGGGAGACUGGAAUCCUGGUGUAGCGGUGAAAUGCGCAGACUAGUCAGGAGGAACACCGGUGGCGAAGGCGGGUCUCUGGG